rnacentral:rRNA from 1 species
CGCGUAGGCGGUGCGGUAAGUCACCUGUGAAACCUCCGGGCUCAACUCGGAGCCUGCAGGCGAAACUGCCGUGCUGGAGUGUGGGAGGGGUGCGUGGAAUUCCCGGUGUAGCAGUGAAAUGCGUAGAGAUCGGGAGGAACACCUGUGGCGAAAGCGGCGCACUGGACCACAACUGACGCUGAGGCGCGAAAGCUAGGGGAGCAAACGGGAUUAGAUACCCUGGUAGUCCUAGCCCUAAACGAUGGAUGCUUGGUGUAGCCGGUACCCAAUCCGGCUGUGCCGCAGCUAACGCGAUAAGCAUCCCGCCUGGGGAGUACGGUCGCAAGGCUGAA